AGUAAAAGCCGUAACAAGGUUUCCGUAGGUGAACUGCGGAAGGAUCAUUA
rnacentral:rRNA from 1 species